rnacentral:rRNA from 1 species
UACGUAGGUGACAAGCGUUGUCCGGAUUUACUGGGCGUAAAGAGCGCGCAGGCGGUCGUGCAAGUCGCGUGUGAAAGCCCCCGGCUCAACUGGGGAGGGUCACGCGAUACUGCUCGACUUGAAGGCAGGAGAGGGAAGUGGAAUUCCCGGUGUAGUGGUGAAAUGCGUAGAGAUGUGGAGGAACACCGAUGGCGAAGGCAGCCCCCUGGGCCAAUACUGACGCUCAUGCACGAAAGCGUGGGGAGCAAACAGG